rfam:Dipodomys ordii contig_25622, whole genome shotgun sequence.
UGUGUGUGUGUGUGUGUGUUUAAUUUGUAACAAAACCUUACUGACAGAUGCAAACAGUAAAUCCUCUUUUGCAAUCCAGAACUCAUUGUUGAGUAUGAGUUUUUGGUACAAGUAAGAAUAUG